rnacentral:misc_RNA from 1 species
GAUGAAGAACGCAGCGAAAUGCGAUAAGUAAUGUGAAUUGCAGAAUUCAGUGAAUCAUCGAAUCUUUGAACGCACCUUGCGCUCCUUGGCAUUCCGAGGAGCAUGCCUGUUUGAGUGUCAUUAAAUUCUCAAGACCUGUCUGCUUUUUUGAUAGGUAUUGGAUUCUGGGGGUUGCAGGCUGUUUCAAAUAAAUAGCCUUGCUCUCCUUGAAUGUAUUAGUGGAGAAAAGCCAUUGAACUCCAUUGGUGUGAUAAAACCUAUCAAUGCCAGGAGCAAUAUCACUACUUCUCUCUGCUGUCUAACUGUGACUGUCUGUAUUAAUUAGUAUGGAUGGGGACAACUUGACCAACUUGACCUCAAAUCAGGUAGGACUACCCGCUGAACUUAAGCAUAUCAAUAAGCGGAGGA